AUUGAACGCUGGCGGCAUGCCUUACACAUGCAAGUCGAGCGCGAAAGGGGGCAACCCCGAGUAGAGCGGCGGACGGGUGAGUAACACAUCGGAACGUGCCCAGUAGUGGGGGACAACCUCGAGAAAUCGAGGCUAAUACCGCAUACGACCCACGGGUGAAAGCGGGGGACCCAAAGGAAACUGAGGGCCUCGCGCUAUUGGAGCGGCCGAUGUCCGAUUAGCUAGUUGGCGGGGUAAGAGCCCACCAAGGCGACGAUCGGUAGCUGGUCUGAGAGGACGACCAGCCACACUGGGACUGAGACACGGCCCAGACUCCUACGGGAGGCAGCAGUGGGGAAUUUUGGACAAUGGGGGCAACCCUGAUCCAGCCAUGCCGCGUGCGGGAAGAAGGCCUUC
rnacentral:rRNA from 1 species